rnacentral:rRNA from 1 species
GAUGAAAGCUGGCGGCAGGCCUAACACAUGCAAGUCGAGCGGAGCUGCGGAAGGGGGAGUAAUGCCUAGGAAUCAGCCGGGUAGUGGGGGAUAACGUCCGGAAACGGCCGCUAAUACCCCAUACUAUCAGAUAAGCUUAGGUCGGAUUAGCUAGUUGGGGGGGCAAUGGCCAACCAAGGCGACGACCCGUAACCGGUCUGAGAGGAUGAUCAGUCACACUGGAACUGAGACACGGUCCAGACUCCUACGGGAGGCAGCAGUGGGGAAUAUUUGACAAUGGGCGAAAGCCUGAUCCAGCAAUGCCGCGUGUGUGAAGAAGGUCUUCGGAUUGUAAAGCUCUUUAAGUUGGGAAGCGUUACCAAAAGAAUAAGCACCGGCUAACUUCGUGCCAGCCGCCGCGGUAAUUC